GACGAACGCUGGCGGCGCGCCUAACACAUGCAAGUCGAACGGGAUUUACAGACGGAAGCUUCGGUGGAAGACUGUAAUAUCUAGUGGCGGACGGGUGAGUAACACGUGAGCAACCUACCCUGGAGUGGGGAAUAACAUUCGGAAACGGAUGCUAAUACCGCAUGAUGUCAUUGGGAAGCAUUUCCUGAUGACCAAAGAUUUAUCGCUCUGGGAUGGGCUCGCGCCUGAUUAGCUAGUUGGUAAGGUAAUGGCUUACCAAGGCAACGAUCAGUAGCCGGACUGAGAGGUUGAUCGGGCCACAUUGGGGACUGAGACACGGGGCCCAGACUCCUACGGGGGAGGGCAGCAGUGGGGGGAUAUGCACAUGGAGAAACUCUGAUGCAGCGACGCCGCGUGAC
rnacentral:rRNA from 2 species